rnacentral:rRNA from 1 species
UACGAAAGGGGGCUAGCGUUGUUCGGAAUUACUGGGCGUAAAGCGCACGUAGGCGGGUUGUUAAGUCAGGGGUGAAAUCCUGGAGCUCAACUCCAGAACUGCCUUUGAUACUGAGGAUCUUGAGUACGGGAGAGGUGAGUGGAACUGCGAGUGUAGAGGUGAAAUUCGUAGAUAUUCGCAAGAACACCAGUGGCGAAGGCGGCUCACUGGCCCGUAACUGACGCUGAGGCACGAAAGCGUGGGGAGCAAACAGG